rnacentral:rRNA from 1 species
GAUGAACGCUGACAGAAUGCUUAACACAUGCAAGUCAUUGGCGAAGCUGCGCUUGCGCAGUCUAGCCAAGGCGGACGGGUGAGUAACGCGUAAGGAACUUGCCCUGCAGACAGGGAUAACAGACGGAAACGACUGAUAACACCUGGUAUUGUCAGGCUGGCGCAUGCCGGCCUGAUGAAAGGAGACGCUGCAGGAGAGCCUUGCGUCCUAUCAGCUAGUUGGUGGGGUAACGGCCCACCAAGGCGAUGAUAGGUAGCCGGCCUGAGAGGGUGAACGGCCACAAGGGGACUGAGAUACGGCCCUUACUCCUACGGGAGGCAGCAGUGGGGAAUAUUGGACAAUGGGGGCAACCCUGAUCCAGCAAUUCUGUGUGCACGAAGAAGGUUUUCGGAUUGUAAAGUGCUUUCAGCAGGGAAGAAGAAAGUGACGGUACCUGCAGAAGAAGCGACGGCUAAAUACGUG